rnacentral:misc_RNA from 1 species
AUGAUAAUCUGAUUUAUGACAGACUUUUAACUCAUUACACCACUAUUGAUUAGUAUUAUAUAUUUACUUACAACAUAGUAAUUUUCACAAACUUGAGCUCACAUGAAAAUUGCAGCUGUUAUGGAUGCAGUGCAGCAGAAGCCUCUUCCCUAUACUUGAAUUUGAUAAAAAAAAAGGAACUAGCUGCAAAGCAAUGUAUCACGGGUAGCAUUUCCAGUUGUUGAAUUCA